rnacentral:rRNA from 1 species
AGAGUUUGAUCCUGGCUCAGGAUGAACGCUAGCUACAGGCUUAACACAUGCAAGUCGAGGGGAAACGGACAUCGAAAGCUUGCUUUUGAUGGGCGUCGACCGGCGCACGGGUGAGUAACGCGUAUCCAACCUGCCCACCACUUGGGGAUAGCCUUGCGAAAGUAAGACUAAUACCCAAUGAUAUCUCUAGAAGACAUCUGAAAGAGAUUAAAGAUUUAUCGGUGAUGGAUGGGGCUGCGUCUGAUUAGCUUGUUGGCGGGGUAACGGCCCACCAAGGCUACGAUCAGUAGGGGUUCUGAGAGGAAGGUCCCCCACAUUGGAACUGAGACACGGUCCAAACUCCUACGGGAGGCA